UACAGAGGGUGCGAGCGUUGUCCGGAAUCACUGGGCGUAAAGGGCGCGUAGGCGGUCUCUUAAGCGUGUGGUGAAAGCCCGGGGCUCAACUCCGGGUCGGCCGUGCGAACUGGGGGACUGGAGCUUGUCAGAGGCAGGCGGAAUUCCGGGUGUAGCGGUGGAAUGCGUAGAGAUGUGGAGGAACACCAGUGGCGAAGGCAGGUCUCUGGGCCACUACUGACGCUGAGAAGCGAAAGCAUGGGGAGCGAACAGG
rnacentral:rRNA from 1 species